UCCUCGAUGGUCUAACGGUCAUGAUUUCCGCUUGUCAUCCCUUAUGAGGAACAAGCGCGGGAGACCUGGGUUCGACUCCCAGUCGGGGAG
rfam:Aspergillus bombycis strain NRRL26010 contig00033, whole genome shotgun sequence.